UAGCAGUUGGCGGUUAAACCUGAGUAGCUCAAGUAAAGCGGAACAGUGUAAAAGGUGGUAAGACGGUCUUAUUUCGGAAAUUAGGAAAAGGAGCACCGGGUUAGGGGUGUAAUCCUGGGCCCGGUGUAAAGGUAAGUUUUCCUUUAGGCUGAAGCCACUGAACCGGUGUAAAAGACAAGGAUUAGAGACCCUUUUAUUACCGACGCAAACUUUGCAGACAGCUGCUUGGGUACUACGAGCGUGCGCUUAAAACUCAAAGAACUUGGCGGCUUGUUAACUACCUAGGGGAAUAUGCGCCUUAAUCCGAUGUUCCCCGUUUCAUCUUACUGGGCCUUGAAGAAGUUCAGCUGGUGUAUUGCCGUUGUCAGCUUGUUGUGUGAGCAGAGAGAAACAGGCUCAAAGGACGAAGGUCCCUAAAUUCAGGUCGGAAUGCUGCUGAUGGUCCAAGGGAGCGGGUGUUACAGUUUUUAUUUAAACUACGGAUCCCAGUUGAGAAUUUCUGAGGGA
rnacentral:rRNA from 1 species